rnacentral:lncRNA from 10 species
GUACUUCAAAUGUUUCUUCUUCCAUCUUCUUUCAAUCAUUUAAUCCCAUUGUCAAAACCACCAUCAAUAGCCUCACCCCUCUAAAAUCUCAAUUUCAAACACUCCUUUCUCUUAACUUCUAUUAUUGCAGCUCUCUCAUCCCCAUGAUUUGACAACAGUAUAUUAUAAAUUGAGCAACCUCAGCAUCUUCAUCAUUAUUCACCCGUAUCUAUCCACCAUAAUCUUUUUCAUGCAUUGCUGUGUAGUCUUCCCUCUGGCUUCCUUGCCCCCAACUUUGUUCCUUUGUUUUAACAGUCUCUUAAAAUCAUAUAUUAGAUCAUGCCAGUCACUUCAGUACAUGGUUGUGGAAGGAAAUAAUAAAUUCUUUAAAUCUAUCCACUUGUGUUGUCCUCAUUGUCCUCACCCUAAUCUAGGCUCACAUA